GCGACGGGAGCAAUCCGUGGUGGCGAGUGGCGAACGGGNGUUUUAGAAUAUAGUCGGAACGUGCCAGUCGUGGGGAUAACGUAGCGAAAGCUACGCUAAUACCGCAUACGAUCGUAUGGAUGAAANCGGGGGAUCGCAAGACCCUCGCGCGAUUGGAGCGGCCGAUAUCAGAUUAGGUAGUUGGUGAGGUAAAGGCUCACCAAGCCGACGAUCUGUAGCUGGUCUGAGAGGACGACCAGCCACACUGGGACUGAGACACGGCCCAGACUCCUACGGGAGGCAGCAGUGGGGAAUUUUGGACAAUGGGCGCAAGCCUGAUCCAGCAAUGCCGCGUGCAGGAUGAAGGCCUUCGGGUUGUAAACUGCUUUUGUACGGAACGAAACGGUGAGCUCUAAUACAGUUUGCUAAUGACGGUACCGUAAGAAUAAGCACCGGCUAACUACGUG
rnacentral:rRNA from 1 species